GGCUCGUUGGUCUAGGGGUAUGAUUCCUGCUUUGGGUGCAGGAGGUCCCGGGUUCAAAUCCCGGACGAGCCC
rnacentral:tRNA from 1 species